UUGCAUGGUUUUCGUCAGCUCGUGUCGUGAGAUGUUGGGUUAAGUCCCGCAACGAGCGCAACCCUUAUGACUAGUUGCCAGCAUUUAGUUGGGCACUCUAGUAAGACUGCCGGUGACAAACCGGAGGAAGGUGGGGAUGACGUCAAAUCAUCAUGCCCCUUAUGACCUGGGCUACACACGUGCUACAAUGGAUGGUACAACGAGUUGCGAGACCGCGAGGUCAAGCUAAUCUCUUAAAGCCAUUCUCAGUUCGGACUGUAGGCUGCAACUCGCCUACACGAAGUCGGAAUCGCUAGUAAUCGCGGAUCAGCACGCCGCGGUGAAUACGUUCCCGGGCCUUGUACACACCGCCCGUCACACCAUGAGAGUUUGUAACACCCGAAGCCGGUGGCGUAACCCUUUUAGGGAGCGAGCCGUCUAAGGGGCAAUUGU
rnacentral:rRNA from 1 species